rnacentral:lncRNA from 1 species
GAUAUUAUAUAACUAGGUGCACCUAGACCGUUAUCCUCGUUAUCGGUUACUUGAUUGAAAUCAUUAUUCUCAAAACAUAUUUAUCAAAAUCCACGUUUCACGAGAUAUUGAAAUUUAUGUAACAAUACCACAAUCAAACCUCAUUUUCAAUUCAUUUGCUCAACAAGUCAUGGAUAAGUCCAAAUAGAGUAUAGUUAAUUUGAUGACAUGGAAAUUAUAUAACAAUGACGAGAAAAUGUUCAAAGGGUGUGUUCCCCAAUUUUAUAAAUACUUUAACAUAGAAAAUAAGUAACAUAAAAUUGAUAAUAGUAGUUAAAAUAAGUAGUAAUGAUUAUCAUCAACUCACAACUAUGACGAAUCAACUUCGUUCCUAACAAUGCCUUCCGGAAUGAUCACCGAAGCAAUUUCCACCGAAUCU